GUAGGGUGCGAGCGUUAAUCGGAAUUACUGGGCGUAAAGCGUGCGCAGGCGGUUGUGUAAGCCAGACGUGAAAUCCCCGGGCUUAACCUGGGAAUGGCGUUUGGGACUGCACGGCUCGAGUAUGGCAGAGGGGACUAGAAUUCCUGGUGUAGCAGUGAAAUGCGUAGAUAUCAGGAGGAAUACCGAUGGCGAAGGCAGGUCCCUGGGUUAAUACUGACGCUCAUGCACGAAAGCGUGGGGAGCAAACAGGAUUAGAUACCCUGGUAGUCCACGCCCUAAACUAUGUCAACUGGUUGUUGGGGGUUUGACACUCUCAGUAACGAAGCUAACGCGUGAAGUUGACCGCCUGGGGAGUACGGCCGCAAGGUUA
rnacentral:rRNA from 1 species